rnacentral:rRNA from 1 species
UACGGAGGAUGCAAGCGUUAUCCGGAAUGAUUGGGCGUAAAGCGUCCGCAGGUGGCAAUGUAAGUCUGCUGUUAAAGAGUCUAGCUCAACUAGAUAAAAGCAGUGGAAACUACAUAGCUAGAGUACGUUCGGGGCAGAGGGAAUUCCUGGUGUAGAGGUGAAAUGCGUAGAGAUCAGGAAGAACACCAGUGGCGAAGGCGCUCUGCUAGGCCGUAACUGACACUGAGGGACGAAAGCUAGGGGAGCGAAUGGG